rnacentral:rRNA from 1 species
GACAGAGGGUGCAAAACCGUUGUUCGGAAUUACUGGGCGUAAAGCGCGUGUAGGCUGCUCUGCAAGUCGGUGUGAAAGCCCCGGCUCAACCUGGAAGUGCACUCGAAACUGCAGAGCUCGAGUCCUGGAGAGGAAGGCGGAAUUCUCCGGUGUAGAGGUGAAAUUCGUAGAUAUCGAGAGGAACACCGGUGGCGAAGCGGCCUUCUGGACAGUGACUGACGCUGAGACGCGAAGCGUGGGAAGCAAACAGG